UACAGAGGGUGCGAGCGUUGUCCGGAAUCACUGGGCGUAAAGGGCGCGUAGGCGGCCUGAUAAGUAGGGGGUGAAAUCCUGCGGCUUAACCGCAGGGCUGCCUUCUAAACUGUCGGGCUCGAGCACAGUAGAGGCAGGUGGAAUUCCCGGUGUAGCGGUGGAAUGCGUAGAGAUCGGGAAGAACAUCAGUGGCGAAGGCGGCCUGCUGGGCUGUUGCUGACGCUGAGGUGCGACAGCGUGGGGAGCAAACAGG
rnacentral:rRNA from 1 species